rnacentral:rRNA from 1 species
UACGUAGGGUGCAGGCGUUAAUCGGAAUUACUGGGCGUAAAGCGUGCGCAGGCGGUUUGCUAAGACAGGUGUGAAAUCCCCGGGCUUAACCUGGGAACUGCGCUUGUAACUGGCAAGCUGGAGUGUGGCAGAGGGGGGUGGAAUUCCACGCGUAGCAGUGAAAUGCGUAGAGAUGUGGAGGAACACCGAUGGCGAAGGCAGCCCCCUGGGCUAACACUGACGCUCAUGCACGAAAGCGUGGGGAGCAAACAGG